GAACAAGAUCGUUAAUCGUUGGCG
rnacentral:siRNA from 1 species